UGCCAGCAGCCGCGGUAAUACGGAGGGGGCUAGCGUUGUUCGGAAUUACUGGGCGUAAAGCGCACGUAGGCGGACUAUUAAGUCAGGGGUGAAAUCCCGGGGCUCAACCCCGGAACUGCCUCCAAAACUAUCAGUCUAGAGUUCGAGAGAGGUGAGUGGAACUCCGAGCGUAGAGGUGAAAUUCGUAGAUAUUCGGAAGAACACCAGUGGCGAAGGCGGCUCACUGGCUCGAUACUGACGCUGAGGUGCGAAAGUGUGGGGAGCAAACAGGAUUAGAUA
rnacentral:rRNA from 1 species